UACGUAGGGUGCAAGCGUUACUCGGAAUUACUGGGCGUAAAGCGUGCGCAGGCGGUUAUGCAAGACAGGUGUGAAAUCCCCGGGCUUAACCUGGGAACCGCAUUUGUGACUGCAUAGCUGGAGUACGGCAGAGGGGGAUGGAAUUCCGCGUGUAGCAGUGAAAUGCGUAGAUAUGCGGAGGAACACCGAUGGCGAAGGCAGUCCCCUGGGCCUGUACUGACGCUCAUGCACGAAAGCGUGGGGAGCAAACAGG
rnacentral:rRNA from 1 species